rnacentral:rRNA from 1 species
CAUCGCCGCGGUAAUACAGAGGGUGCGAGCGUUAAUCGGAUUUACUGGGCGUAAAGCGUGCGUAGGCGGCUUCUUAAGUCGGAUGUGAAAUCCCUGAGCUUAACUUAGGAAUUGCAUUCGAUACUGGGAAGCUAGAGUAUGGGAGAGGAUGGUAGAAUUCCAGGUGUAGCGGUGAAAUGCGUAGAGAUCUGGAGGAAUACCGAUGGCGAAGGCAGCCAUCUGGCCUAAUACUGACGCUGAGGUACGAAGGCAUGGGGAGCAAACAGGAUUAGAUACCCCCGUAGUCCCUGUCUCUUAUACC